CACGUAGUUAGCCGGGGCUUCUUCUGCAGGUACCGUCAUCUUCGUCCCUGCUGAUAGAGCUUUACAUACCGAAAUACUUCUUCACUCACGCGGCGUCGCUGCAUCAGGGUUCCCCCCAUUGUGCAAUAUUCCCCACUGCUGCCUCCCGCAGGAGUCUGGGCCGUGUCUCAGUCCCAAUGUGGCCGGUCGCCCUCUCAGGCCGGCUACCGAUCGUCGCCUUGGUGGGCCGUUACCCCUCCAACUAGCUAAUCGGACGCGGAUUCAUCCUACACCGAUAAAUCUUUCCCUGUUCUCUCAUGCGAGAAUACAGUCUAUGCGGUAUUAGCAGCCGUUUCCGGCUGUUAUCCCCCUGUGUAGGGCAGAUUAUCCACGCGUUACUCACCCGUCCGCCACUUGAUAAGAAAUGCAAGCAUCUCUUAUCCCGUUCGACUUGCAUGUGUUAGGCACGCCGCCAGCGUUCAUCCUGAGCCAGGAUCAAACUCU
rnacentral:rRNA from 1 species